GGUCCGGGCGGCGGAAGCGACCAGGGCGCCCGAUUCAGCAGCGCCGCUGCUGCCUCCCCCGCGCCGCCCGGGGCUGCGAUCGCGCUUUGCCCGGCAGCGGAGCGGGGCCUCCCUCGGCGCGGGCUAGGGGAUCGCCCGCAGGAGUCGCCGCGUGCGUCUCGCAGUCCCCGGCCCGGCGCACACUUCCUUGUCCGCGAACCUCAGACGUGUCGUCUCGCGAGGCUCAGCCGCCCGCCGAGGCCUCGUCCCCGCCGCGCUGCGGCAGGAACCCGGGCCCUGCGCUCCAGCCCGGCGUCGCUCCCGCUGCUCUGCCCGGCCGCCGGCCCGCGCCGCCGGGGGUGGGGAGCGAGAUGUUCACUCUGCCUCAGAAGGAAUCCAGGGCACCUGCCACCUGCCCGGGCCCAACCUCCAUCCAGGAUCUGGACAGUAACUCUGGGGAUGAUCUGGAAAGAGAAUGCUCCAGAAAACCAGACCGGAAGCUGCCAGAGGACUGUGGAGCCAUGUUGUCCUCGGACAGCUUCUGCUUGUCCUCGAGAGGAAGAGUCAUUAAGUGGUUCUGGGACUCGGCAGAGGAGGGCUACAGGACCUACCACAUGGACGAGUAUGAUGAGGAUAAGAACCCCAGUGGCAUCAUUAAUUUGGGCACCAGUGAAAACAAACUCUGCUUUGACCUGCUCUCCAGGCGGCUGAGUCAGAGCGACAUGCUGCGGGUGGAGCCGUCCCUGCUGCAGUACCCCGACUGGAGGGGACAUCUGUUCCUCCGGGAGGAAGUGGCCAGAUUCCUGUCUUUCUACUGCAAGAGCCCCAACCCCCUUAAACCAGACAAUGUGGUUGUCCUGAAUGGCUGUGCCUCUCUCUUCUCUGCUCUGGCCACGGUGCUGUGUGAGGCAGGGGAAGCAUUCCUGAUCCCCGCACCUUACUAUGGGGCCAUCACACAGCACGUCUAUCUCUAUGGCAAUGUCCGGCUGGUAUGUGUCUAUCUGGACAGUGAGGUCACUGGGCUGGACACACGUCCAUUCCAGCUCACCGUGGAGAAGCUGGAGAUGGCCUUGCAGCGAGCCAAUUCUGAGGGUGUGAAGGUCAAAGGUCUCAUCCUCAUCAACCCCCACAACCCUCUGGGCGACAUCUACUCCCCAGGAGAGCUGCGGGACUACCUGGAAUUUGCCAAGAGGCAUGAGCUGCACGUGAUGGUGGAUGAGGUCUACAUGCUGUCCGUGUUCGAGAAGCCGGCGGCCUACCGCAGCGUCCUGAGCCUGGAAGGGCUGCCUGACCCCCAGAGGACCCACGUGAUGUGGGCGACCAGCAAGGACUUUGGGAUGUCUGGGCUCCGCUUCGGCACGCUCUACACGGAAAACCGGGACGUGGCCACUGCGGUGGCUUCCCUCUGCCGCUAUCAUGGCCUCAGUGGUUUGGUCCAGUACCAGAUGGCACAGCUGCUUCGGGACCGUGACUGGAUCAACCAGGUGUACUUACCAGAGAACCAUGCCCGGCUCAAGGCUGCCCACGCCUACGUGGCAGGAGAGCUCCGGGCCCUGGGCAUCCCGUUCCUGAGCCGCGGGGCAGGCUUCUUCAUCUGGGUUGACCUGAGGAAGUUCCUGCCCGAGGCCACCUUUAAGGCAGAAAUGCUGCUUUGGCGCCAAUUUUUGGACAACAAGGUGCUGCUGUCCUGUGGCCAGACCUUUGAGUGUAAAGAGCCCGGCUGGUUCCGCUUGGUCUUCUCGGACAAGGCCCACCGGCUUCGGCUGGGGAUGCAGAGGGUCCGGCAGGUGCUGGAGGGCAAAUCCCGGGUGGCAGAAGAGCCCUCUUCCUGUCAGACCCAGGAGCCAAGGAGUCAGCGCAGUGUUCCAGGAUUCAUUGUUUAUGCAGCACACCCUGUGCUCCAUGCAAUACGGGCCCCCCACAAUACCCACCACCGGGCUCACCCCAUCCCCCCUGCCUCCAAAACCCUCAGUAUGCUUCUCAGAGUCCACAGUCUCUCCUGCUUCAUCUCCCCCGUGUUGUGAAUAAUUUACAGAAUGGAGGAGUCGUGACUGCUCCCGACCACAAGCCCUUGCCCCCCUGAGGAUGUGAAAAGAAAACAACAUGUACCUUCUUUUGAUGACACCCUCUUUCGUCCUUUGUUGCCGGGAAACAAGUCAGAAGAACAGCGCACAGAAGACAGAGCACACCCAGGAAAUAAACAGGAGCGAUAGUUCUCAAGUCCCAGGAGGAAGGAGUUAAUUCUGACCCAUGGGUAGGCUGGGAUCUGCGGUGUCUAUUCCUCCCCACCCCCAUCUUCAACGGACAUGUGGAUUUGGACGUGGAGAAGCAAAAUGUGGGUUUCCCAUCUCAAGAAUACUCUCAUCCCAAUAUCCCUGGAUCAGUAGCAAGCCGGCAUUAACUCACAAGAAUAUUCCUUGAAUCACUUGCUGCUGGAAGCCCCCGUUCCCAGACACAGAAUCACUCCUAUCAUUUAAGCUGUAAGCGACAACUUCCACCAGAUGGCGCUAUGGGAUAGCUGGGCCCCGGAAGGGUUCGGCUUCUGCAGCGAGUUACCUGUAAACCGCUCAGGCUCUUUGCGGUCAUCUCAUCAACCUCCCAAUUCCAGCAUUCUGCAUUUUUGAUUGACAUUUUUAGCUCCACUUAUGCUUUAUGACAGGAGCUUUACUAUGCAUGUAUAAGGCUAGGUCAUAAGCAGUACAGAAACAAAAUACAAAAGUCUCUUUCCCCCACUUCUAUCUCCACCGUUAUUCUUUCAAAACUGUUCACUGCUUCU